rnacentral:rRNA from 1 species
UACGUAGGGGGCAAGCGUUGUCCGGAUUUAUUGGGCGUAAAGAGCGUGUAGGCGGCUAGGUAGGUCCGUUGUGAAAACUCGAGGCUUAACCUCGAGAUGUCGGCGGAAACCAUCUGGCUAGAGUCCGGAAGAGGAGAAUGGAAUUCCCGGUGUAGCGGUGAAAUGCGCAGAUAUCAGGAGGAACACCAAUGGCGAAGGCAGCUCGCUGGGACGUGACUGACGCUGAGGAGCGAAAGCGUGGGGAGCGAACAGG